rnacentral:rRNA from 1 species
GACGAACGCUGGCGGCGUGCCUAAUACAUGCAAGUAGAACGCUGAAGAGAGGAGCUUGCUCUUCUUGGAUGAGUUGCGAACGGGUGAGUAACGCGUAGGUAACCAGCCUUGUAGCGGGGGAUAACUAUUGGAAACGAUAGCUAAUACCGCAUAACAAUGGAUGACACAUGUCAUUUAUUUGAAAGGGGCAAUUGCUCCACUACAAGAUGGACCUGCGUUGUAUUAGCUAGUAGGUGAGGUAACGGCUCACCUAGGCGACGAUACAUAGCCGACCUGAGAGGGUGAUCGGCCACACUGGGACUGAGACACGGCCCAGACUCCUACGGGAGGCAGCAGUAGGGAAUCUUCGGCAAUAGGGGCAACCCUGACCGAGCAACGCCGCGUGAGUGAAGAAGGUUGUCGGAUCGUAAAGCUCUGUUGUAAGUCAAGAACGAGUGUGAGAGUGGAAAGUUCACACUGUGACGGUAGCUGACCAGAAAGGGACGGCUAACUACGUG